CUGAAGGCCUGGUGCUUGCACCGGGUGGAUGAGUGGCGAACGGGUGAGUAACACGUGAGUAACCUGCCCCUGACUUCGGGAUAAGCCCGGGAAACUGGGUCUAAUACCGGAUACGACUGCCGGACGCAUGUCUGGUGGUGGAAAGUUUUUUCGGUUGGGGAUGGGCUCGCGGCCUAUCAGUUUGUUGGUGAGGUAAUGGCUCACCAAGACGACGACGGGUAGCCGGCCUGAGAGGGCGACCGGCCACACUGGGACUGAGACACGGCCCAGACUCCUACGGGAGGCAGCAGUGGGGAAUAUUGCACAAUGGGGGAAACCCUGAUGCAGCGACGCAGCGUGCGGGAUGACGGCCUUCGGGUUGUAAACCGCUUUCAGCAGGGAAGAAGCGCAAGUGACGGUACCUGCAGAAGAAGUACCGGCUAACUACGUGCCAGCAGCCGCGGUAAUACGUAGGGUACGAGCGUUGUCCGGAAUUAUUGGGCGUAAAGAGCUCGUAGGUGGUUGGUCACGUCUGCUGUGGAAACGCAACGCUUAACGUUGCGCGUGCAGUGGGUACGGGCUGACUAGAGUGCAGUAGGGGAGUCUGGAAUUCCUGGUGUAGCGGUGAAAUGCGCAGAUAUCAGGAGGAACACCGGUGGCGAAGGCGGGACUCUGGGCUGUAACUGACACUGAGGAGCGAAAGCAUGGGGAGCGAACAGGAUUAGAUACCCUGGUAGUCCAUGCCGUAAACGUUGGGCACUAGGUGUGGGGGGCAUUCCACGUUCUCCGCGCCGUAGCUAACGCAUUAA
rnacentral:rRNA from 1 species